UUCUCCCUUAGUCUCCUUCAACCUCAAUUCUUCAGCCACCGUCAACAUUGCUUCAACCUCAACUUUUCACUUCAAUCCUCAGAUAUCUUCACCCUUCACACUAUGAUCUUCAUUUUCUAUAGAACCGCUCCACCAUCCCACUCCACUUCAUCACAUUCCAUUCUUCAUCACCUUCAAUCCAAUAUCACUCUUCAAUCAUCUAACAGAAUUCACAAUGAAAAACAACAAAACGUGCCAUACAAUGACUUAACAGAGAUAAAAAACCUCAUCCAAGAUUAGAAACUCAACAAACCAAUUCAAAACUUAUCAAAGAAGAGGAGAAAUAGAAGAUAGCGAAAGAACAAGAUUCAAACAAAAAGCAUAAACGACAAUAGAAAAAUACGAACAAAAUCCUAAAAUAGAAAUGAAGAAGAAAACAAAGAGUAACAGAAGGAGAAUAAGAAAGCAUAAAGUGAAGGAGAUUGGAACGCGAGCGACGCAUCGAUCUUGGAGAAGGAUCCAUCUCCGAUUUGUUGCGCAAUUCCGUCUUCAACCUUCAUCGCCACACAACAAUCGGUUCAAACGGAUUCAUCAUCCUUCAACGCGAUAACGUUUCGAAC
rnacentral:lncRNA from 1 species